rnacentral:rRNA from 1 species
AAGGAAUAUUGGACAAUGGGCGGAAGCCUGAUCCAGCCAUGCCGCGUGAAGGAUGAAGGCGCUCAGCGUUGUAAACUUCUUUUGGAUGGGGACAAUAAUCUCGAUUUAUCGGGACUUGAGGGUACCAUCAGAAUAAGCACCGGCUAACUCCGUGCCAGCAGCCGCGGUAAUACGGAGGGUGCAAGCGUUAUCCGGAAUCACUGGGUUUAAAGGGUGCGUAGGCUGUUAGAUAAGUCAGUUGUGAAAUUCCCCGGCUUAACCGGGCGAACUGCGAUUGAUACUGUUUAACUUGAAUGAGGUUGAGGUAGGCGGAAUGUGGCAUGUAGCGGUGAAAUGCUUAGAUAUGCCAUAGAACACCGAUUGCGAAGGCAGCUUGCUGGGCCUUCAUUGACGCUGAGGCACGAAAGCGUGGGGAGCAAAC